rnacentral:rRNA from 1 species
UACAGAGACCUCAAGCGUUAUCCGGAAUCAUUGGGCGUAAAGCGUACCGAUAGGUGGCUUUGCAAGUCAGAAGUGAAAUCUCUCAGCUUAACUGGGAGUCUGUCUUUUGAAACUGCAAAGCUUGAGGGGCAAAGAGGAAGCUGGAACAAACGGUGUAGUAGUGAAAUGCGUAGAUAUCUGGAGGAACACCGGUGGCGAAGGCGGCAUCCUGGACCGACACUGACGCUGAGGAGCGAAAGCCAGGGGAGCAAACGGG